AUGACCACUGUUGGGAGAAUCUGGGCUAGGAAAGUUACAUCGACCGACCCAAUAGAUGUCUUGAAUAUCAAGUUGAAAAGAUUUAAAACCUAUUUCAAAGGGUGGGGCUCGGACAAAUAUGGGCACGAUAAGAGAAGAAAAGAGGAGCUCCGCAUAGAACUGUCUAUGCUGGAGGAACUAGAAGAGGAGGAUAUGUUGCCCCCUGACCUUUACGGUAGGAAAGUUGAUAUUAGUGCUGAGCUUUACGAGAUUUUGGUGAACGAGGAAAUUUUUUGGCUUCAGCAAUCCCACGAGUGCUGGCUCCUCAAAGGGGAUUUAAACACUGACUACUAUCAUAAAAUUGCCAAUGGGCGAAAACGCAAAAACACAAUUCAAUCACUUAGGGUGGGUGAGACAGUGAUUGAGGGCACGGAUAACCUAAUUUCUCACGCUACUGAGUUUUACAAAGAGCUAUUUGGCCCAGCUCCUGGUAACCAACUCCACCUUGAUCCGGAUACCUGGUCGGCUGAGGAGAAACUAAAUGAGAAGGAUAACGCUGACCUUUGCCGUGCUUUCACAGAACAGGAGGUUAGGGAAGCCCUAUUUGAUAUGGCUCCCAAUAGGGCUCCUGGACCUCAUAACAUCCCGGCCGAAUUCUACCAGGUGUGUUGGGAGAUUGUCAAAGAUGACAUUAUGGCCUUGUUUGUCACUUCCACCAGGGGAAACUGGAUGUGCAGCGGCUUAACUACGGGAUUAUUACCCUUCUCCCAAAAACCUCUGGGGCUGGGAAAAUCCAGUAGUACAGGCCCAUUUGUUUGCUGA
rnacentral:rRNA from 1 species